rnacentral:rRNA from 1 species
AACGAACGCUGGCGGCAUGCCUAACACAUGCAAGUCGAACGAGACCUUCGGGUCUAGUGGCGCACGGGUGCGUAACACGUGGGAAUCUGCCCUUUGCUUCGGAAUAACAGUUAGAAAUGACUGCUAAUACCGGAUGAUGUCGAAAGACCAAAGAUUUAUCGGCAAAGGAUGAGCCCGCGUAGGAUUAGGCAGUUGGUGGGGUAAAGGCCUACCAAGCCGACGAUCCUUAGCUGGUCUGAGAGGAUGAUCAGCCACACUGGGACUGAGACACGGCCCAGACUCCUACGGGAGGCAGCAGUGGGGAAUAUUGGACAAUGGGCGAAAGCCUGAUCCAGCAAUGCCGCGUGAGUGAUGAAGGCCUUAGGGUUGUAAAGCUCUUUUACCAGGGAUGAUAAUGACAGUACCUGGAGAAUAAGCUCCGGCUAACUCCUUG